CCUUGACCUUUGUAACUUGCAACCUGGAUAAAAUAGCCUUUUUUUAACAAACUAUUGCAUGCAUUAGGCACCUUCAGGAUACACGUAACAAGGAGACCAAAAUGAAGCAGCCAACAAGUGAUUUUAAUAUUCAAAUGCGAUUGAACUUGGAAAAUUACAAACUUAUCUGCUUAGCACACGUGACUAAGAAGAUGAAUUCAAAUUCUAGACCUUAUUUGCUUUGUUCACAUUUCCUUUCAAACAUAGACACAAAUUCACUGAAAAAUAUGGUUAUAAAGCAAAGAAGCUGAAUACCAAAAAAUAUGCAAACAAACCAAUAGAUUUACUGGCUGAGUUUGAGAUUACAUUAAUAGAUAUUGUUGGAAUCCUUUGUUUUAUUCCCUAUAGGAGUGUCUCAAUCAUUGUAGAGUUUGUAUGUAAUUGUAAUUGCCUUCUUCCUUCUGUAAUUAGUCUUCAAAUGUAUCUAGGUUUCUUUUUUUAGUUCUAAAAUUAUUGUAUAAAUAGGAGGAAGUGAUCAGAGUUUUUUUCACACAUAGAAAUAAAGAUUUUUUCUCUCAAAAUUCCUACUUCAACAGAUAUGCACCCUACAAUCCUUAAUAUGUGCAACUAUUGAAUCACAUUUGUCUCUACUUUGUAAGCUGUAAGAUUUCUUAGAGGCGAUUUUAAGUUUUCUGGAUUUUUAAUUUUUUUUUUUUUUAUUAGGGAGUGUUGCAAUCAUGGUGCAGAUUAUUGCAAGGAAUUACUUGUUUAUUGGACUUCCUGAUUAGCAAUAGGUCUAGUAUCUUUGAAAUUUUUACAACAAAAAAGAAGAGAAAGAGAACAACAAUAAUAUUGAUGAGAUAAUAACAAUGGUCAAUAUGAAGAAAUACCAAACAAACAAAAUAAUUGAUACACACAGACCCACACG
rnacentral:misc_RNA from 1 species